rnacentral:rRNA from 1 species
CAGCCGCCGCGGGAACACGAAGGGUGCAAGCGUUACUCGGAAUUACUGGGCGUAAAGCGUGCGUAGGUGGUGGUUUAAGUCUGUUGUGAAAGCCCUGGGCUCAACCUGGGAAUUGCAGUGGAUACUGGGUCACUAGAGUGUGGUAGAGGAUAGUGGAAUUUCCGGUGUAGCAGUGAAAUGCGUAGAGAUCGGAAGGAACAUCUGUGGCGAAUGCGACUAUCUGGGCCAACACUGACGCUGAGGCACGAAAGCGUGGGGAGCAAACAGGAUUAGAUACCCGUGUAGUCCCUGUCUCUUAUAC